AUUGAACGCUGGCGGCAGGCCUAACACAUGCAAGUCGAGCGGAUGAAGGGAGCUUGCUCCUGGAUUCAGCGGCGGACGGGUGAGUAAUGCCUAGGAAUCUGCCUGGUAGUGGGGGAUAACGUCCGGAAACGGGCGCUAAUACCGCAUACGUCCUGAGGGAGAAAGUGGGGGAUCUUCGGACCUCACGCUAUCAGAUGAGCCUAGGUCGGAUUAGCUAGUUGGUGGGGUAAAGGCCUACCAAGGCGACGAUCCGUAACUGGUCUGAGAGGAUGAUCAGUCACACGGGAACUGAGACACGGUCCAGACUCCGACGGGAGGCAGCAGUGGGGAAUAUUGGACAAAGGGCGAAAGCCUGAUCCAGCCAUGCCGCGUGUGUGAAGAAGGUCUUCGGAUUGUAAAGCACUUUAAGUUGGGAGGAAGGGCAGUAAGUUAAUACCUUGCUGUUUUGACGUUACCAACAGAAUAAGCACCGGCUAACUUCGUG
rnacentral:rRNA from 1 species